ACAUUGGUGGUUCUGUGGUAGAAUUCUCGCCUUCCAUGCAGAAGACCAGGUUCGAUUCCUGGACAAUGUA
rnacentral:tRNA from 1 species